rnacentral:rRNA from 1 species
UGGGGAAUUUUGGACAAUGGGGGCAACCCUGAUCCAGCAAUGCCGCGUGUGUGAAGAAGGCCUUCGGGUUGUAAAGCACUUUUGUCCGGAAAGAAAACGCCGUGGUUAAUACCCCGUGGNGGAUGACGGUACCGGAAGAAUAAGCACCGGCUAACUACGUGCCAGCAGCCGCGGUAAUACGUAGGGUGCAAGCGUUAAUCGGAAUUACUGGGCGUAAAGCGUGCGCAGGCGGUCCGCUAAGACAGAUGUGAAAUCCCCGGGCUUAACCUGGGAACUGCAUUUGUGACUGGCGGGCUAGAGUAUGGCAGAGGGGGGUAGAAUUCCACGUGUAGCAGUAAAUGCGUAGAGAUGUGGAGGAAUACCGAUGGCGAAGGCAGCCCCCCUGGGCCCAAUACUGACGCUCAUGCACGAAAGCGUGGGGAGCAAACAGGAUUAGAUACCCUGGUAGUCCACG